rnacentral:lncRNA from 1 species
AAUUUCAGAGUAAAGAGACAGCAAACAAUCUUUUUUUAUUUGUUUAUAUUACUAAAACAGACAUAUCUUCCUUUAUGUGAAGAAGUCUGCUUCCUUAUUGUGUUCCAUGCUAAUAAACCGUGUGCGUGUGCUUGAUCAUGGUCUGGAGAUUACACACAUAGAGGAAUAGAAUCAUAAACACAAUAGCAUCAAACAACGGUGGGUGCUCAACCCAUUUACCAUACACAAGCAACACUU